rnacentral:snRNA from 1 species
CAAUGUAGGCAAGGGAAGU